rnacentral:rRNA from 1 species
CGUAAAGCGAGCGUAGGUGGCUUGAUAAGUCAGAUGUGAAAUCCCCGGGCUUAACCUGGGAACUGCAUCUGAUACUGUUAAGCUAGAGUAGGUGAGAGGGAAGUAGAAUUCCAGGUGUAGCGGUGAAAUGCGUAGAGAUCUGGAGGAAUACCGAUGGCGAAGGCAGCUUCCUGGCAUCAUACUGACACUGAGGCUCGAAAGCGUGGGUAGCAAACAGGAUUAGAUACCCUGGUAGUCCACGCCGUAAACGAUGUCUACUAGUCGUUGGGUCCCUUGAGGACUUAGUGACGCAGCUAACGCAAUAAGUAGACCGCCUGGGGAGUACGGCCGCAAGGUUAAAACUCAAAUGAAUUGACGGGGGCCCGCACAAGCGGUGGAGCAUGUGGUUUANUUCGAUGCAACGCGAAGAACCUUACCUGGUCUUGACAUACACAGAAUCUUGUAGAGAUACGAGAGUGCCUUCGGGAAUUGUGAUACAGGUGCUGCAUGGCUGUCGUCAGCUCGUGUCGUGAGAUGUUGGGUUAAGUCCCGCAACGAGCGCAACCCUUGUCCUUAGUUACCAGCGGGUUAAGCCGGGAACUCUAAGGAUACUGCCAGUGACAAACUGGAGGAAGGCGGGGACGACGUCAAGUCAUCAUGGCCCUUACGACCAGGGCUACACACGUGCUACAAUGGUAGGUACAGAGGGCAGCUACACAGCGAUGUGAUGCGAAUCUCAAAAAGCCUAUCGUAGUCCAGAUUGGAGUCUGCAACUCGACUCCAUGAAGUAGGAAUCGCUAGUAAUCGCGGAUCAGAAUGCCGCGGUGAAUACGUUCCCGGGCCUUGUACACACCGCCCGUCACACCAUGGGAGUUGAUUGCACCAGAAGUGGUUAGCCGAACCUUUUAGGACGGCG